UUAGUAGUUGGUCCCAGUCAGUAACACUCUGGGAGGGCUCAGGCCACAUCACGAAAUGUGACAGGAUAGCCUUGAACUCAUCAAUUGCUGGGUAAGAAAGAAUUUUAAUGCAAUGGCAAACAACCAAUCAAACAAGCAAACAAAAACAAUAAACCCUUCCUUGAGGACCAAGAAGACAUUGAUUAGCUAACCUAAGAGCUCCAGGUGGAGACCUAGGUCCUGAUUGGGUUUCUGAAUUUGACCACUAGGCAGAAAACUAGCACCCAAAACCAGUUGGAAUAAAAUUACCCACCUACAGUGGAGCCAAGGCCCCCAGAUCCUUUUUGUCAGGGGCACCUCAAACUCAACUCCAAAAUUGAUCUAAUGAACUUUCCCAAACCACAUUCCCUUCUUGCAUUUCUGAGAGAAUGGAUUCCCAUUCAUCUGACUACAGUGCUACCCUGAAAGCAGAUCCAGAGACUAAGAUUCACCUGCAGGUGAUUCAUUUGCAAGGUAAGCUGUCAUCAGUUGGAGGUAAGCGGAAGACAGUAGAGAGUACAGAGCCCUGGACUGUGACUCAGAGGAUGAGCACCAGAUCCAGUUUGCUGUGCCACAGUGUCCUGAAGAUUUUCCUCAGAUAAUCUUUCAUCUCUUUGUUCCUGAGACUAUAUAUUAGAGGAUUACAGAGUGGUGUUAUCACAGAAAAGAACAAGGUCACUUGAUAUUCUUGGCUUGAUGAAAAAAAACAAGAUUCUAACGUGACAGAACUUGUUCUUCUGGGCCUAUCAUCUUCUUGGGAGCUGCAGCUAUUUCUCUUAUUACUAUUUUUGUUUUUUUACAUUGCUAUUGUCCUGGGAAACCUCUUGAUAGUGGUAACAGUGCAAGCCCAUGCUCAUCUGCUCCAAUCUCCUAUGUAUUAUUUUUUAGGUCAUCUCUCUUUCAUUGACCUAUGCCUAAGCUGUGUUACUCUGCCAAAGAUGUUAGGGGAUUUCCUACAGCAGGGCAAGAGCAUCUCUUU
rnacentral:lncRNA from 1 species